AUGGCGGCCAAGAUCUACAUUGUGUACUACUCCACCUAUGGCCAUGUGGCCAAGCUAGCAGAUGAGAUUCUGAAGGGCGUGUCGUCCGUCGAAGGUGUCGAGGUCAAGCUAUGGCAGGUCCCGGAGACUCUUUCUGACGAAGCACUCGCAAAGAUGGGCGCUCCUGCGAAGAGGGAUGACGUGCCGGUCAUCUCGCCCGCAGAGCUCGCCGACGCCGACGGCCUCAUCUUCGGGUUCCCCACUAGAUUCGGCAUGAUGCCCACGCAGUUCAAGGCGUUCAUGGACGGCACCAGUGAGCUGUGGUGCCUGCAGCGGCUCGCCGGCAAGCCUGCCGCAUUGUUCUUCUCCUCCGGUUGCCAGGGCGGUGGCCAAGAAACCACCGCGUUGACGGCCAUUACUCAGCUGGUGCACCAUGGCAUGCUCUUUGUUCCGGUCGGGUACACGUUUGGCGCAGGCAUGUUUGAGAUGGGGCAGGUGAAGGGUGGCAGCCCGUAUGGGUUUGGCACCAUUGCUGGGGAUGGAUCACGAGUUCCCACUGAGCUUGAGCUGCAACAGGCCUUCCACCAAGGGAAAUACUUUGCGGGGAUCGCAAAGAAGCUCAAGGGUUCUCCAUGA
rnacentral:rRNA from 1 species